CGGAGCCAGCUGAGAGCCUCUCUGUGACCGGGGCCCUUCUCUGUCCUGUCGCUCCUUCCUUUAGGUCUAGGGUCUCCAACAGCCUGUCUGAGGAGGGCCACCGGGCUGUGGAGGCUUCUGGAACUGUCUGCCCCUCCCUGGCCAAGCCCUCUUACCUCCCGGUCCCCAUCCCCCACAUGGCCAUGACUUUCAGUAAGUGACAGCAGCUCAGGAAGCCGAGGGGCCCACACAGGAAGGAGCCCGGUGGGACUUUCCUCCUGCUGUCUCCCUCCCGGCUCUGCCCUCCGGUCCUUGGCCCAGGGUCCCCCGCUGCCAGACAGGCUACACCCAUGGCGCCUCCAAGUGAGGAGACGCCCCUGAUCCCUCAGCGUUCCUGCAGCCUCUCGUCUUCAGAGGCUGGUGCCCUGCACGUGCUGCUGCCCCCUCGGGGCCCCGGACCCCCACAACGCCUGUCCUUCUCCUUUGGGGACCAUUCAGCUGAAGAGCUAUGUGUUUGGGCUGCUAAGGCCAGUGGCAUCCUGCCUGUGUACCACUCCCUCUUUGCUCUGGCCACGGAGGACCUGUCCUACUGGUACCCCCCGAGCCACAUCUUCUCCGUGGAGGAUGCAAGCACCCAAGUCCUGCUCUACAGGCUCCGCUUUUACUUCCCCAACUGGUUUGGGUUGGAGAAAUGCCACCGCUUCGGGCUACGGAAGGACUUGGCCAGUGCCAUCCUUGACCUGCCAGUCCUGGAGCACCUCUUCGCCCAGCACCGAAAUGACCUGGUGAGCGGCCGCCUCGCCGUGGGCCUCAGUCUCAAGGAGCAGGGUGAAUGUCUCAGCCUGGCAGUGCUGGACCUGGCUCGGAUGGCCCGUGAGCAGGCUCAACAGCCUGAGGAGCUGCUGAAGACCGUCAGCUACAAGGCCUGCCUGCCCCCCGAUCUGCGCGACCUGAUCCAGGGCCUGAGCUUCGUGACGCGGAAGCGUAUCCGGAGGACUGUGCGUCGGGCCCUGGGCCGCGUGACCGCCUGCCAGGCUGACAGGCACUCGCUCAUGGCCAAGUACAUCAUGGACCUGGAGAGGCUGGACCCGGCCAGGGCCGCCGAGACCUUCCUCGUGAGCCUCCCCGGGGCUGCUGGUGGCCAGGAUGCUCCGGGGCUGCUCCGAGUGGCUGGUGACAGCGGCAUCCACUGGAGUCCGGGAGGACACGAGGCCCUCCAGCCCUUCUGCGACUUUCCAGAAAUUGUGGACAUCAGCAUCAAGCAGGCUCCUCGUGUUGGCCCCGCCGGGGAGCACCGCCUGGUCACCGUCACCAGGACGGACAACCAGAUCCUGGAGGCCGAGUUCCCGGGGCUGCCCGCGGCCCUGUCCUUCGUGGCGCUCGUGGAUGGCUACUUCCGGCUGACUUCCGACUCCAGGCACUUCUUCUGCAAGGAGGUUGCGCCGCCGCGGCUGCUGGAGGAGGUGGCCGAACAGUGCCACGGUCCCAUCACCCUGGAUUUUGCCAUCAACAAGCUCAAGACCGGGGGCUCCCUUCCCGGCUCCUAUGUUCUCCGCCGCAGCCCCCAGGAUUUCGACAGCUUCCUCCUCACUGUCUGCGUCCAGACGCCCCUGGGUCCUGAUUACAAGGGCUGCCUCAUCCGGUGUGACCCCACGGGAACCUUCUCCCUGGCUGGCCUCGGCCGGCCCCACAGCAGUCUUCGAGAGCUCUUGGCAGCCUGCUGGGAUGCUGGGCUGCACGUGGAUGGGGUUGCGCUGAACCUCACCUCCUGCUGCGCCCCCAGACCCAAAGAAAAGUCCAACCUGAUCGUGGUGCGGAGAGGUUGCAGCACUCCCACAUCAUCCCUUGUUUGGCCCCAAUCCCAGUGUCAGCUGAGUCAGAUGACGUUUCACAAGAUCCCCGCUGACAGCCUGGAGUGGCACGAGAACCUGGGUCACGGGUCCUUCACCAAGAUUUACCGAGGUUGUCGCCAUGAGGCUGUGGACGGGGAAGCCCGGGAGACAGAGGUGCUACUCAAAGUGAUGGAUGCCAAGCACAGAAACUGCAUGGAGUCCUUCCUGGAAGCAGCGAGCCUGAUGAGCCAAGUGUCGUAUCAGCACCUCGUGUUGCUCCACGGCGUGUGCAUGGCUGGAGACAGUGUCAUGGUGCAGGAAUUUGUGCGCCUGGGAGCCCUGGAUACAUAUCUGCGCAAGUCUGGCCACCUGGUACCAGCCAGCUGGAAGCUGCAGGUGAUCAAACAGCUGGCCUAUGCCCUCAACUAUCUGGAAGACAAAGGCCUCCCCCAUGGCAAUGUCUCAGCCCGGAAGGUGCUCUUGGCUCGGGAGGGGGCUGACGGGAACCUGCCCUUCAUCAAGUUGAGUGACCCUGGUGUCAGCCCCACUGUGCUGAGCCUGGAGAUGCUCACUGACAGGAUCCCCUGGGUGGCCCCUGAGUGUCUCCAGGAGGCCCGGACCCUUGGCUUGGAAGCUGACAAGUGGGGUUUCGGUGCCACAGUCUGGGAAGUGUUCAGCGGGAUCCCGAUGCCCAUCAGUACCCUGGAUCCUGCCAAGAAGCUCCAGUUUUACGAGGAACGGCAGCACCUUCCCGCCCCCAAGUGGAUGGAGCUGGCCACCCUGAUCCAACAGUGCAUGGCCUAUGAGCCAGGCCAGAGGCCCUCCUUCCGUGCCAUCAUCCGUGACCUGAACAGCCUCAUCACUUCAGAUUAUGAGCUCCUCUCAGACCCCACACCUGGUGCCUUGGCGCCCCGUGAUGGGCUGUGGAAUGGCGCCCAGCUCUACGCCUGCCAGGACCCUACCAUUUUUGAGGAGAGACAUCUCAAGUACAUCUCACAGCUGGGCAAGGGCAACUUUGGCAGCGUGGAGCUGUGCCGCUAUGACCCGCUGGGCGACAACACGGGGGCCCUAGUGGCUGUGAAGCAGCUUCAGCACAGCGGGCCAGACCAGCAGAGGGACUUCCAGCGGGAGAUCCAGAUCCUCAAAGCCCUCCACAGCGACUUCAUUGUCAAGUACCGCGGUGUCAGCUAUGGCCCGGGCCGCCAGAGCCUGCGGCUGGUGAUGGAGUACCUGCCCAGCGGCUGCCUGCGCGACUUCCUGCAGCGACACCGCGCGCGCCUGGACGCCAGCCGCCUGCUCCUCUACGCCUCGCAGAUCUGCAAGGGCAUGGAGUACCUGGGCUCCCGCCGCUGCGUGCACCGCGACCUGGCGGCCCGUAACAUCCUGGUGGAGAGCGAGACGCACGUCAAGAUCGCCGACUUUGGCCUCGCCAAGCUGCUGCCGCUCGACAAAGACUACUACGUGGUCCGCGAGCCCGGCCAGAGCCCCAUCUUCUGGUACGCCCCAGAGUCCCUCUCUGACAACAUCUUCUCGCGCCAAUCGGACGUCUGGAGCUUCGGGGUCGUCCUGUACGAACUUUUCACCUACGGCAACAAGAAUUGCAGCCCCUCAGCCAGGCCCUCUCUCUCCACCGCGGGUGAUUCUCUCCCUGCCUUCACUAUGGCUGCCCCUUGGCCCCAGGCUCGGGCGGCUCCUCCCCCACCACGGGUGCUCCCUUUGGCCCUAGGAGUUCCUCCGGAUGAUGGGAUGUGAGCGAGACGUCCCCGCCCUCUGCCGCCUCCUGGAGCUGCUGGCUGAGGGCCAGAGGCUGCCCGCGCCUCCUGCCUGCCCCGGUGAGGUUCAUGAGCUCAUGAAGCUGUGCUGGGCCCCGAGCCCGCAAGAUCGGCCAACAUUCAGUGCCCUGGGCCCCCAACUGGAUACACUGUGGAGUGGAAGCCGGGGGGUAGCAUAGAGUGCGAGAUUCACGCCUGCCCUGCUUGUCCGCAGGGAGAGCCCCGCGCACUUCCUUUUUCUCUCUCCUGCACGCUGCACGCACACCUCUGGGUUCUGGUCUUUGUGGAUGGGCCGUGUGACCUUCGGCAGGACGUUGCCACUCUCUGGGCUUCCUGCUUCGCAGAGAUCCCCACGGGGCAAUGACAUUGCCUUUGGGAGGGCUACCCACCCCUGUUGGGGGGCAACAACCGGCCUGUGGCCUCAGCAACUUGAAAAGGUUCAAGAUGAAUCCCUCGGUUGGGGGCGUGGCCGGCUGUGCCUUGCGAUGGGAAUUGAGGAACCAGACCGAAGCCCCUCCCAUCUUCCUACCCUCUUGGAUCUGGUCCUGGGCUUCCUGGCGCAGCGAGGACGUGGCAUAGCUUUAAAUAUAUGAUCCCAGGCUUCUGUCCCCCCUCCCUCUUGUGCUGGAGCGAGCCACAGACAAGAGCAGCUGCCCUGGUUGGAAAUUUGCUUUUGGGGGCCAGGAAGGCUGGGAUCACAGUCCGCCCUAAAUGUACCAGAGCGUGUCAGGUUUCAUGUUGGCCCACUUGCACACCGGGGCCCUUUCUGUCCUGACCGGAGGGUCACACAGUUGAUGACCCUGGAGACUUGCAGCAGCUAAGGGAAGGAAAGGUAUUCUCGGCGGAGGGAACAACAUGGUGAGAGUGAGGAGGCUCAGAGGACAGAGGUUAAGAGCCCACAGUUCUGCCACUCACUUGCUGUGUGAUGGCAGGCAAGUUGCCUCCCCUUUCUGGGUCUCCUGUAUAAUGGGCAGAUUAAUGGUGCUGGCCUCCUGCUGUACAGUUUCCAGAGCCUUGUGAGAAAGCAUCUUGGGCAGGCUGAGUAACCCCCGCCCCCACCCCCACUUCUCCCCUGCCUGCAGUCUUUUCUGCCACUUUUGCCCCCUGGAAAACGUAUUUAUCUCUCAAAACCCCAGCUAUCCCCUCCCUGCAGCCUUCCCUGGCAUGCUCCCACCACUUCUCACCGGCCGAUCACUCUCCGCUCUGAUCCUAGGGCCGGGGUGUCUGUCCAGAUCUGUGUCCUCUCACCCAGAGGCUCCCUGGGGGUUGGGCUGUGGGGGGGGGGGGCACAAAGGGGAUUCUGGGAAUGUUCGUUGAAUGAAUAAAGUUCAGCGAGAAGAAUGGUUUAGUUGCUGGACUUGGGGUGAUGGGGCGUUAUGGGAGGCUGUAAGCUGGGGAGGAAUGUGGUUAGGGCUGGGGGAUGGAAAGCUCCAGCUGCUGGCCUUGGCUCUGUCCUGAGAAGCUGAUUACAGCCUCCUGGUGGGUGGAGAGAACAGUUUGCUCUGGGUGGGGGGGGGUCAGAGGGCAAGGUUGGGCUGGGAGGGCCAAGCUAUGAGGAGGGGGUCUAACAUCAGUGGGGGCCAAGCAAGUCUUCGUCGGGAUGGCUGGGAGAUAUGAAGAGGCACAGAGAGAAGUAGAGAGGGAGAGACACAGUGUCUCUCUUCUGUCUCUCUCUCUCUGUCUCACCUGCUGUCUUAGCCCCGGGAAAGCCAUCUGCUUGGGUGCAAGGUGGAAGGGGGCUGCUUUGGGCUCAAGCAAGAUACGGUUCUCAGCCCGGGCCCUCUUUUGUCUCUGCUUCUUUGCCCUCCUUGGUAAAACGAGGUCCUAAGUCCUCCUGGGCACCAGGCUGCCACCAAGCAGAUGCCAAGCAAACACAGCCAGCUUCAUUCUGGGCCCACCAGUCCCUGCCCAGCCCAAAGGGAGAGACAGAGCCGGCCAACAGCCCCAGCCCCAGGCCCAGCCUCCUGUGACCAUGGGCAAGUGUGGCGGUCCCCUCUCUGAGCCAAGGUGUCAUUUAUACAGUAAUAAGGGGGCGCCUGGGUGGCUCAGUUAAGCGUCCGACUUCGGCUCAGGUCAUGAUCUCGAAGUCCGUGCGUUCGAGCCCUGUGUUGGGCUCUGGGCUGACAGCUCAGAGCCUGGAUGGAGCCUGCU